GUGCACCCCUGGUAUGCAUAUCGAUAUGCACAGAUAAAAACAUAUGUUUGAAGAACAUAUGAUGAAAAGGCAGAGUGCAAUUUAUUGCAAAAGUUGCAACUGAAAGAGAUGACAAUUUCUCCCAAGUGCAAGUGAACGUGUGUUCGACAGGCCGAAGAAGUGAGUGACGCAAAAUGGCUGCGAGGGAAUCAUCCGGUGGAACGAGAGGUAGCAGCUGAGAAGACUCCACAUCCCAAUCACCGAGCAGUGCCGCCAGUUUAGUUAAGUUGAUUGUGUAGUUUAAGCCAGUGCAUUGUAGUGUUGUUUUGCUGCAUGUGUGUAUGUGCAUACGUGCCAAAUAAAACUUUAAUUGAAUAUAAAAUUCAAUUUGAGUUUUAUUUGUUAGGAUACCCUUUGCAGAUAGGAUAUGUGAGGACGACCAGUUUCCAGCGUAUAUGCUUGCAAUCAGUUGCUGGGGAAGGACCAGCCUGCAUCGGCCGAAGAAUCUCCUGGAUUUGUGUUGUGUGUGCGCGAAGUGCUCGCUGUGGGUGGCAGUGGCGCCAGUUGCCGAAAGAUUGGCAGGCGCGACUGCGAGGCAGUAGCGUCACCUAUAUUUUGUAU